AUGCCGCCACCACUCGUCGUCAAUGACGCGGUAGAUACAACGCCGCACCACCUGGCAACCUCCACACCAUCGCCACUGCUGGAGCUACUCGGAGCCCACCAUCCACAACAUCUCUCCCCCGAACAGCAGUUCCUCCCAAGACGGCGCCUUCAUGGAGGAUACGACGCGCAGGACGCCGCCGCCGCCCAAUCCAGACUGAAUUUUGGACUUUCGUCCGGGAGGGGUUCGGGGGUGGAUAGGGGGGACCUCGGCUUCGCCUCCAGGAAGGGUAACGGCGUCAAGUGA
rnacentral:rRNA from 1 species